CUUGGUCAUUUAGAGGAAGUAAAAGUCGUAACAAGGUUUCCGUAGGUGAACCUGCGGAAGGAUCAUUAUUGAAUACGAAUCGGUUCUGAUGCUGGCCCUUCACCGGGCAUGUGCUCGCUCCGAAUCUAUUUAUCUUCUCUUGUGCACCUCUUGUGUAGUCUUUGAAAAAGUGAACCUCUCGCAGCAAUGCGGUCUGGGGGACUGGGUCAAACCUUCCCCUGCUUGCUUUCUUCUUGGCUAUGUUUUCAUAUACACUAUAAAGUUACAGAAUGUCUUUUAACGAUUGUCGCUCGCGCGCAGUCAUUAAACCUAUACAACUUUCAGCAACGGAUCUCUUGGCUCUCCCAUCGAUGAAGAACGCAGCGAAAUGCGAUAAGUAAUGUGAAUUGCAGAAUUCAGUGAAUCAUCGAAUCUUUGAACGCACUUUGCGCCCUUUGGUAUUCCGAAGGGCAUGCCUGUUUGAGUGUCAUUAAAUUCUCAACCUUGCUCGCCUUUACCGGCUUGAGUGAGGCUUGGACGUGAGGGCUUUGCUGGCUUCCUUAAGUGGAUGGUCUGCUCCCUUUAAAUGCAUUAGUGGGAUCUCUUGUGGACCGUCACUUGGUGUGAUAAUUAUCUACGCCUCGUCGACUUUGAAGCAAACUUAUGGGAACCUGCUUAUAACCGUCUCGCAAGAGACAACUUUCUGACAUUUUGACCUCAAAUCAGGUAGGACUACCCGCUGAACUUAAGCAUAUCAAUAAGCGGAGGAAAAGAAACUAACAAGGAUUCCCCUAGUAACUGCGAGUGAAGCGGGAAAAGCUCAAAUUUAAAAUCUGGCGGUCCCUGUGGCCGUCCGAGUUGUAAUUUAGAGAAGUGUUAUCCGCGCUGGACCGUGUACAAGUCUCCUGGAAUGGAGCGUCAUAGAGGGUGAGAAUCCCGUCUUUGACACGGACUGCCAGGGCAUUGUGAUGCGCUCUCGAAGAGUCGAGUUGUUUGGGAAUGCAGCUCAAAAUGGGUGGUAAAUUCCAUCUAAAGCUAAAUAUUGGGGAGAGACCGAUAGCGAACAAGUACCGUGAGGGAAAGAUGAAAAGAACUUUGGAAAGAGAGUUAAACAGUACGUGAAAUUGCUGAAAGGGAAACGCUUGAAGUCAGUCGCGUCGUUCAGGACUCAGCCUUGCUUUUGCUUGGUGUACUUCUUGUUCGACGGGUCAGCAUCAAUUUUGGUCGGUGGAUAAAGGCUUAGAGAAUGUGGCAUCUUCGGGUGUGUUAUAGCUCUGGGUCGCAUACAUCGGCUGGGAUUGAGGAACUCAGCACGCCGCAAGGCCGGGUACUUGUACCACGUACGUGCUUAGGAUGCUGGCAUAAUGGCUUUAAUCGACCCGUCUUGAAACACGGACC
rnacentral:rRNA from 1 species